UGGAAACAGCGGUUAGGAGCUUACACCCACCCGUGUUUACAUACUAUUGUUGCUUUGGCGGGCCGUGGCCUCCACUGCGGGCUCUGCUCGUGUGUGCCCGCCAGAGGACCAAACUCUGAAUGUUAGUGAUGUCUGAGUACUAUCUAAUAGUUAAAACUUUCAACAACGGAUCUCUUGGUUCUGGCAUCGAUGAAGAACGCAGCGAAAUGCGAUAAGUAAUGUGAAUUGCAGAAUUCAGUGAAUCAUCGAAUCUUUGAACGCACAUUGCGCCCUGUGGUAUUCCGCAGGGCAUGCCUGUUCGAGCGUCAUUUAACCACUCACGCCUAGCGUGGUAUUGGGGCACGCGGUCUCCGCGGCCCUCAAAAUUAGUGGCGGUGCCGGUGGGCUCUAAGCGUAGUACAUACUCCCGCUAUAGAGUUCCCCCCGGUGGCUCGCCAGAACCCCCAAUUUUUACAGGUUGACCUCGGAUCAGGUAGGGAUACCCGCUG
rnacentral:rRNA from 1 species